AGGACGAACGCUGGCGGCAUGCUUCAUACAUGCAAGUCGAACGAUAAGGUCUCUUCGGAGAUACAUAAGUGGCGGACGGGUGAGUAAUAUGUAGGAAAUCUGCCCUUGAGAGGGGGACAACAGAGGGAAACUUCUGCUAAUACCCCAUAUGAGCGUACCUGAAAUGGUAUUCUUGAAAACUCCGGUGCUCAAGGAUGAGCCUGCAUCUGAUUAGCUUGUUGGCGGUGUAAUGGACCACCAAGGCGACGAUCAGUAGCUGGUUUGAGAGGAUGAUCAGCCACAAUGGGACUGAGACACGGCCCAUACUCCUACGGGAGGCAGCAGUAGGGAAUUUUGCGCAAUGGGCGAAAGCCUGACGCAGCAAUGCCGCGUGAACGUAGAAGCCCUUCGGGGUGUAAAGUUCUGUCAGUGGGGACGAAUUUUGACGGUACCCACAGAGGAAGCACCGGCUAACUCCGUGCCAGCCGCUGC
rnacentral:rRNA from 1 species